UUCCAGACUCCUACGGGAGGCAGCAGUGGGGAAUAUUGCACAAUGGGGGGAACCCUGAUGCAGCAACGCCGCGUGAAGGAAGAAGGCUUUCGGGUUGUAAACUUCUAUCAAUAGGGACGAAAAGAAUGACGGUACCUAAAUAAGAAGCCCCGGCUAACUACGUGCCAGCAGCCGCGGUAAUACGUAGGGGGCAAGCGUUAUCCGGAAUUACUGGGUGUAAAGGGAGCGUAGGCGGCAUGGUAAGCCAGAUGUGAAAGCCCGCGGCUUAACCGCGCGGAUUGCAUUUGGAACUAUCAAGCUAGAGUACAGGAGAGGAAAGCGGAAUUCCUAGUGUAGCGGUGAAAUGCGUAGAUAUUAGGAAGAACACCAGUGGCGAAGGCGGCUUUCUGGACUGAAACUGACGCUGAGGCUCGAAAGCGUGGGGAGCAAACAGGAUUAGAUACCCCUGUAC
rnacentral:rRNA from 1 species